rnacentral:rRNA from 1 species
AACGAACGCUGGCGGCAUGCCUAACACAUGCAAGUCGAACGAGACCUUCGGGUCUAGUGGCGCACGGGUGCGUAACGCGUGGGAACCUGCCCUUAGGUUCGGAAUAACUACCCGAAAGGGGUGCUAAUACCGGAUAAUGUCUUCGGACCAAAGAUUUAUCGCCUUUGGAUGGGCCCGCGUUGGAUUAGCUAGUUGGUAGGGUAAAAGCCUACCAAGGCGACGAUCCAUAGCUGGUCAGAGAGGAUGAUCAGCCACACUGGGACUGAGACACGGCCGAGACUCCUACGGGAGGCAGCAGUGGGGAAUAUUGGACAAUGGGCGAAAGCCUGAUCCAGCAAUGCCGCGUGAGUGAUGAAGGCCUUAGGGUUGUAAAGCUCUUUUACCCGGGAUGAUAAUGACAGUACCGGGAGAAUAAGCUCCGGCUAACUCCGUG